UACACAAAUAAACAGCUGUAGGUCUCCCAGUCCAAUUUCAAAGUCAUGUACAGGAGACGCUCCUACUUCAUCUGGUGGGUCUCGCAUGAAGCCAGCACUGAAGACCAAGAUCUAGAAGCAGGCCUGGUGCUGCUGCUUUGCUACUGGAGUCCAGUUGUGUUAGCCAGAUUUGAUAUCCUGCUGUUUGGAUAAAUAACCAAGAUUAUUGAAUGCUGGGUAAAUGAGUUGCCUGAAGGUUGACUGGUCUGGAAAUUUAUGUCUCAGAAGCCUUAAGAGCUCUCUCAGGACACUGACCUAGGCGUGCUACGGCGUACUGCCUCUUUCUGUCUCAAGGACAUGUUUCUAUUCGGAAGAUGAAACACUGCAUUGAUAUUAGAGACGGAUGGUUUUUAAUUCUGCCUUGUGAUCUACAAGAAACUAACACUAUGUUUUAGUGACUUAAUGAAGAUGAAAUGAGUGCCUUUUUGUA
rnacentral:lncRNA from 1 species